rnacentral:snRNA from 1 species
GAAACUCAUUAAAAACUGCCGAU